rnacentral:sRNA from 1 species
CUUUCCCCAAUCUGUGAAGUAGCUAAUAAUAUAGAACAGAAUGCUCAAGAGAAUGAAAAUGAAAGCCAAGUUUCAACAGAUGAAAGUGAGAACUCCAGGUCUCCUGGAAAUAAAUCAGAUAACAUCAAGCCCAAAUCUGCUCCAUGGAACUCUUUUCUCCCUCCACCACCCCCCAUGCCAGGGCCAAGACUGGGACCAGGAAAGCAUGCUCUAAAGAAUGGUGACAUUUGUGAAACUUCGGGUAAACCAAAAACCACACCUAAAAGAAAACCUGCUAAGAAGAAUAAAAGCCAAAAGAAGAAUACUGCAGCUUCCUUACAACAGUGGAAAGUUGGGGACAAAUGUUCUGCCAUUUGGUCAGAAGACGGUUG